rnacentral:tRNA from 1 species
AAAUUUAAAAAAGAAUUAAACUUUACCCUUAUGCUUCAAAAACAUACAUGCUCCAUACACUAAAAAAUU